CUACAGUUAGUUGCCAGCCAUCUGCUUUUGGGGACUUGGCUUCUGGGGAUAGGCUGGCCGUCAGCUGGGGUGACAGGUGGUGACUAGGCUUGAUUUCAUGGCUCCUGGGUCCCAAGAGCAUGGUCCAAGGAACAAGCACUUUCCAAUUCCCUCUUGCUUUAUGUUUGUUAUUGUCUCAUUGGCCGAAACAAGUCACAAGGUUAAGCCCAAAGUCUGUAUGGAAAGAGACUACCUGAGGGAACAGAUACAGGGAUACAUGAUCAAAAUAGCAGCUAUUGGAGAAGGACACUGAAGUAGUUGAUUAUUAGAGGGAAUCACAUAUCUAAAGGCAAGAAAAAAAUUAAGAUUAUUUUCACAGCUCAAAUGUUGCAGGAAAAUAAGGUUUAUAAAAGAUCAGAAGCAUAUCCAGGAGGACUGAUCAACAUAUGCCUGAGGGACUUUGCUAACUGAAAAAAUGAAAAGAGAAAGCAGAAGGCAAUGUUUUGGGAAGUGAUCAAAUGAAGAUACUAAGCGUAACCAACAGUUUUCAAGAAAUUUGUCCAUAAGAGGAUUUAAGAAAAGAAAGAUUGAGGACAAGAGUGGGAAGAACUAGCUCCAGUGUUUUCUCACUUCAGGAAAAGCAUCUCUGAAUAAGUACACUAUUUUAAGCCUAAUCAAUGUGAAGAAGAUGAGGAUUCAGAUCCUAUAAUGAUCCACCUCCACUUAAUGAAGAGGAUAUGGAUGAAGCUGGAAACCAUCAUUCUCAGGAAACUAACACAGGAACUGAAAACGAAAGGCCUCAUGUUCUCACUCAUAAGUGGGAGUUGAACAAUGAGAACAUAUGGGCACAGAGAGGCGAACAUCACACACUGGGGUCUGUCAGCGGGUGGAGGGCAAGGGGAGGGAUAGCAUUAAGAGAAAUACCUAAUGUAGAUGAAGGAUUGAUGGGUGAAGCAAACCACCAUGGCACAUGAAUAUCUAUGUAACAAACCUGCACGUUCUGCACAUGUAUCCCAGAACUUAAAGUAUAAUUAAAAACAAACAAAAAAUUCAAAAAACUAACUUCUAAAAUCAGUGAGAUUCAUCACAUUUUUUAAUUUUCAGGGUGUUCUAAUGUUUUGUUCUAAUUAGUUACUACCCUAAUUUGAACUUUUUACUCACUAAUCUAUUUUAAAAUGCAUUCUAUUUUACUGAUUAAAUGCAUGCAAACUAAAAAAAUACUUUUUGCUCAUAAUUGGUAUUGGUAAAAUAGUGCAGCAAAAUAAUGCUUCUUUGAAAAAUUUUUGAGCCAACAAAGGUCUCAUUGUCAUGACUGUCAUGUAGAAUUAACAGUGGGAUGGUAUCUACCACUAAGAGUUUAUAUGCUAAGGCAGAAGGUGACAUGUAAAAAAUUAUGUGUCAUAAGCAUUCUCUCCCUAUGCAUAUGCAUAUAUAUAUGUGUGUAUAGAGAAUACUAUAUUGUAGAAUCACAUAAAUGUGUAAUUAGAAAUGUAUUUAUAAAUGUAUACAUUAUAUAAAUGUAUAAAUGUAUAUUAUACCACUGAUAAUUUUUUUUCCAGGAACGAUAAUGAUUGGACUCUGUAUUAGUAAUGAGAAUGGUGUGCAAUUAGAAAACUAAAGUGUCACCUAGUAAGCACAUUUAUUGACUGUUAACAGCUUUGUAAUGGUUAUAAUGGAUGACUAGUACUCAUUGAUGUAAAGGAGGACACCACCACCUGGAGAUUACCCAGAUCUCAAGGGUUUAUAGCAUCAUCUUAACGAGGGGAGUAAAAGGAGGUGGGAAAAGAAG
rnacentral:lncRNA from 1 species